rnacentral:rRNA from 1 species
UCCCAGACUCCUACGGGAGGCAGCAGUGGGGAAUAUUGCACAAUGGGGGAAACCCUGAUGCAGCGACGCCGCGUGAGUGAAGAAGUAUCUCGGUACGUAAAGCUCUCUCAGCAGGGAAGAAAAUGACGGUACCUGACUAAGAAGCCCCGGCUAACUACGUGCCAGCAGCCGCGGUAAUACGUAGGGGGCAAGCGUUAUCCGGAUUUACUGGGUGUAAAGGGAGCGUAGACGGCUGUGCAAGCCAGAUGUGAAAGCCCGGGGCUCAACCCCGGGACUGCAUUUGGAACUGUGUGGCUGGAGUGUCGGAGAGGCAGGCGGAAUUCCUAGUGUAGCGGUGAAAUGCGUAGAUAUUAGGAGGAACACCAGUGGCGAAGGCGGCCUGCUGGACGAUGACUGACAUUGAGGCUCGAAAGCGUGGGGAGCAAACAGGAUUAGAUACCCGAGUA